UGCGCUGAUGAGUUUGCUCAGACUAGAGUCUCUGAUAUAUGUUCUGAUGUCUCUUUCAAGCCCUGAGCA